UACGUAGGGGGCUAGCGUUGUCCGGAAUCAUUGGGCGUAAAGAGCGCGUAGGCGGCUAGAUAAGUCCGGUGUGAAAGUCACAGGCUCAACCUGUGAAUGCCGCUGGAAACUGUCUGGCUAGAGUCCGGAAGGGGCGAGUGGAAUUCCUGGUGUGGCGGUGAAAUGCGCAGAUAUCAGGAGGAACACCAAUGGCGAAGGCAGCUCGCUGGGACGGUACUGACGCUGAGGCGCGAAAGCCAGGGGAGCGAACGGG
rnacentral:rRNA from 1 species